CUCCUGAUUUUCUGCAUUUACAUGAAGACCUCCAUUUGUCAUUCUGUAAUAAAUAGUGAAUUUACUGGGCUCUUUUAGCUGGAUCUCCUUGUGUCUGUAUAUUGGAACUUAUUUUCAGCAGACUGAUAUGAUAUGGAAAUACCAGCUCAGAAGAUGUGGUGAACUCUGAUGAUUCAGACACUGAUUGACAGGAGGAGGGCCUCAUUUGGACAGGUAGGAGCCUGGGAUAUGUGCCUGAUAAGAGAAGGCAAUAAUACAGGAAAGGGAGAUGUCUUUAGAAGAGGAUACACAGGAAGUGUGAGUGUUUAACCUGGUUUGGGGAUGAGGUCAGAAAGGCUCCAGUGGGAAACUAGGAGUUCAGACUGGUCUUUUUUUUUUUUUUUUUUUUUUGAGACGGAGUUUCGCUCUUGUUACCCAGGCUGGAGUGCAAUGGCGCGAUCUCAGCUCACCGCAACCUCCGCCUCCUGGGUUCAGGCAAUUCUCCUGCCUCAGCCUCCUGAGUAGCUGGGAUUACAGGCACGCGCCAUCAUGCCCAGCCAAUUUUUUGUAUCUUUAGUAGAGACGGGGUUUCACCAUGUUGACGAGGAUGGUCUCGAUAUCUUGACCUCGUGAUCCACCCGCCUUGUCCUCCCAAAGUGCUGGGAUUACAGGCUUGAGCCACCGCGCCCGGCCUCAGACUGUUCUAAGUGUGCAGUGGCUGCGAAGAGACCGGCUGACCAAGAAAGGAGGGAAAGCAGAAUGUCCCCAAGUUCUGGAAUGAAGAUUGCUAACUGCUUCUCAUGGGAGUUGUGGCCAGGUGAGGAUGGCCUUGAAGACACCUGAACUUUGGACAGUCACAGGGGCCUGUGUGUGGGGGUAGGCUGUAGGCUCCCAACAGCAUCCAAGAGGACAAGCUUCUCUUCUCCUUGGGUUGGGGAGAAGGAGUGACCACAGAAUGGCUCCCGAACCCUGGUGUGUCUUUGGGCGCGUAUGCCCAGCAGUGGGCAGUAGCAUCGUCACUGUGUCAGUUCUGUGGUGUGAUGUGGAGAACUGGUAGUGGAACGUAGACUUCAAGGCGGGUUCUUCGACUCGCUCAAAGGCCAAACAAAGGUAUCUAUUUAAGUAUCAUUUAAAUAAACCCCUGUAUUGCUUAAAUUAUCCAUAAUUUGUUUCUGUUGUGUAUACAUAAGUAUUUGAUGUAUCAGUUGGGUACCACUUGAAGAAGUGGGUCUUAGCCCUGGCUGCACAUCAGAAUCAAAUUCCAAGCUAGUGGAGAGGGCCAGGGGUUGAAAUACACUGAUGCCCAAUCCCAGACUGACAGCAUCUCCAAGGGUAGGGCCUAGGCAUUGGUAGUGUUUACAAUUUCCGAAGACGAUUCUAAUAUUCAGCCAGGGGUGAGAACCGCUGAGUGAGUGUGGUUUCCUGAUGGUCCAAACCAGGUAUUAUUUUAUAGAGUCCAAAUUUUGUGACCGUUGUUACAGAAUCCUCGGCAGCCAUUAUGCAUGCUCAGAAGCGUAAAACAGAUCAUUGGGGAGCCUUCAGUCUGAACAUCCUAGAGUGGGAUUGGGGUGUCUGGAUCUUCCUUUAAGAAAAAACUAAAGAGAAGUGAAUGCCAACUGUCUGCACUAGGAAAUGAGUGAAGGAUGCUUAGGACAGCUGUGUUUUGCUGUCACAUCUAGGGGUAUUGAGAGAUUCUGAGGGGGUGUCCUCCAAAUUCCCAGAAGCUUCAGACACAUUGAGUCUAUAAAAAACCUUCUAUCAAAACUCUUAGUUUUGACAUUAAUGGGGAAAAAGAUGAUCUUAAAUGGCCUCCAGGCCUGAGUCCCUGCCCUCAUGUGGGAGAGAAACAAUAGACUGGCAACACUGGUGUGGCUGUAAAGAAAACAGAAGAGAUUCUGCUCACAAAAAUAUAAAGUAUUGAGGGGCUAAAAAAAAGUGUGCAG